GUAUGUGUGCUUAGGAUACACAGGAGUUCAUCCGUUCAUUCCAGACAGAAGCUCCACAGAAGAGAGGCCUCUGCUCAGCACAAGAUCGCUCCCUGCAGGAGAGAGUCAGAGCCCAGUUACGUGCGGCCCUGUAUGACAUCCAUGAUAUCUUCUUUGAAAUGCCUCUCUGGGAUCGAUUAGCAUUGCUGCAGCAGGACAGGGAGCUACGAGCUGAGAGGAAGCUGCGAGACAUGAAGCAGAAAGCCAAGAGCCCCAAGGAGAGAGUGGUUCUGUCUGCUGCCACACAGAGGUCUCUGGACAGGAAAAAGAGGCUCAGUGAAUCCCCGUCCACCGCUA